CAUUUCACACCUUCCUUUCCCUCCUUAGCACCCUCAUCCUCCAGCCUCCGUGCUUCUUAGAUCAUUAUAGGCUCCAGCUGCCAGACCACAAGAAAUUCUGGGCAGGCACUUGGUUCUGCCUGCCAGCCUGCAACACGCACCCGAAGCAGUGCCAGAGAGGUGGACGUAUGUGACACAGCAAUCAGGAAAAGAGAUGCAAGUCUGGCCGAUCUAUGACAAUUCUGUGGUGGCUCCUGAACAACACAACUGCUGAUUUAAAGCAUGGCUAAACAGUUAAACUCAGAGUUAUGCUAGGAUCCCAAUUGGCUGUCCUGCAAAUGAUCCCAUUUCCUAGCAGCCAAGUGCAUGGGUACAGUUCCUCACUUAGUUCUUCAGCAACAAAGCAGAGGGGAAUGAGCAUUCCUCCAAGGAGAAAACCUUUCCUUGCCUAUCUUUCCCUGAAACCCAGAAAAAUGGAAGGACAGCUGUGGCAAUCCAGCCUGAACCGUGCUCAGUCAUUCAUACUCAUCCAGUGUUUGUUGCUCUUUCUGCUCCCCAGGAAAGCACUACAACUUUUCUCCCAGGGUUUAAGCCAUUGCUGAGUUCACAGUGUCUUCUGGUUAAGGAGACUGGACAACUCAUUAGCAACACUUCCUAAUGGACUGGAUGGAUUACUGCUGAGUAACAGUGAUUUAGAAGAUGGAAAGGUCAAUAACCCAGGAGAAACUUGCAGGUGACAGGUGAACUUCUCACCAAGUAGAUAAAGAAAAAUGUGACAGGACUAUUGAGAAAAAAUUGUUUGUUUUCUGAACAGAACAAUGCUUUGUGAAAUAUGCCAACAUACCUGAGAGAAUGUUAUUUAUUUUUGAGAACCAGGCACCCAAACUCUGGCUCCUUUACCUCUCCAUGUGGCAGUUUAGGUUUAUUUGUGUGCCUGGGCAGUUUAGCUAUCUGCUGUCCCUGUUCCCUGCUUUGGACAUUUCUUAUAGCCUACAGCAGCUGAACAGACAGGAGCUUGCCACAUCCUAGACUGCAUGGCCACAAGUGGAGUGGACACAAAGUCAGUGCCUCCCUGUGAAGGGCUGGUACCUUCCGAUCAAGUUGCUUGGUUAUCAGAUGAUUUGGUUUCACUCUGGUAUUUAAUUUGAUACUAAAAGGCUGAAAUUUUCUAUUUAAGAGGAAAAAAAAUUAAAUCACUGAGUAGCUACACGCGAUAUCAGAAGAAAUAGUCAGCCAAACCUGCUCAGCUGAGAGAGGAAAUGAUUUUUCUUAGAGUAAUUAAAACUUCUGCUUUUUUUCUUUGUCUUUACCAACACCUGUUUAACUCAAGCACCUGAAUAAACUUU